GCCAGCGUGGUGUAGUGGUUCAAGUGUUGGAUUAUGACUCUGUAGACUAGGGUUUGAUUCCCUGCUCAGCCA